GGAGAGAUCGGAGGAAUGGAAGUCAGGUUGCUGACAUCUGAUUUCCGGUUUCUUGUUGUUCCUUUGCUGCAGCAAUUGAGUGGUUAGAAAAGUGCUGGCCACUACCCCCACGGCUUCCACUUCCUGGCGGCCUCUCCCUGAGGACACUGGUGAGCAGUGAGGAGGAUGUGGAGUCCAGAGCUGCCAGCACAGGGGUUUCAGCAGAGAAAUAGUGGCUACUCCUAUUCAAAAAUGGAAAGCAAGAGCAUAGAUAAUGAGAAUGCUCCUCACAGCCUGCCUGCUCCUCAGAAGUCAGAUACUGAACAUUUUGUUAUGUUAACUAAAACAGAACAAGAGAUGAACAAAGUGAAACUCCUCUUGUCGACUUGUGGACAGGUAGAACAUCUCAGUGGCCAUUUAAGCUACUUAGUCAAAUGACUCACUUUCUACCCUUUUCUCUAAGUUGGUGACUCUCAUCUUUCUGUUUUCAUUCCUGCCCAAAGGUUGAAUCAUUUUGUACAACUCUCUGCAGCACAUUGUUACUUGUAUGUCCUAGUGUCACAUGGAGCUCAAUAAACUUAGAAUUAAACUCAUUCGGUUUCUCCGUUUGGCACCUCCAUUGGGGUGUUUAUUUCCUUCCAACUCAAAGGUUUUGCUGGUUUCUGUCCCAGAUCUGGAUGCCCAUCUUCCUUCCUGGCUCAGCACUUACAAUUACCAGCGGUAUUGCCAUUGUCUAAGUUUCCCACAUUCAAAGCCCUGAAGGCAUUUUUAACUCAUUGCUCCCCUUCAUGCUUCAAAUUAUUACGUUCUGAAAAUUUUUCCUUUAGAGUUAGUGCUGUGAUGUUGUUCCUUUCUGUUCCACAGUAAUCAGACAGCCCCAGACACUUGUCAUCCCUUACCUGAAUUAAUGCAGCAGUCUUCCAGAAGUUCUCUGUCUGCCUCUCCCCUCUCUAAUUCUGCUGCUAAACAAAUGUUUGUAACACCCACUCCUCUGCUCAAAAGCCUGUAAUGGCUGUAAAUUUCCCAAUAUCGUGCCUAAACUCUGCUGCUUGAGUUUCUUCUUCCAUCUUAAUUCUGGAAUCAUCUUUACCAGGAUACCCAAGUCUUAUUGCUGUGUAGCCUGGCCUGUCUUGGCAUUCUUGAUUUUACUAAUUCUCAGCUUUCUACUGUGGUCCUUUCUCUUCCUGUUUACUUCCUCAAAUCCUAACCACUGUCCAGCCUCUUCCCUGUGAGAUUUUUCUGCUUGUUUCCAUUCACUUUGAUUCCCUUUCAUUUGUACUACUACGUCGCGUCUUGUCUUUAGAUUUGAUGAUCAUCAUGGCAGCUUAGGUAGAAUGGAAAGAACCCUGGAUUGAAGGCAGAUAAACUCAGUUCCAAAACAGAUUUCAACAAUAUAUUAACUCUGAAGCUGGAACAAGUCAUUUCACCUCUCUGUGUCUUUCUUGCCUUUUCUAUAAAAUGGGGAUGUUAACAAAUGAGGUAGAAAAUGAUAAGAAAUGUGAAAGCACUGGCAUGUAACAAUAUCAUAAGUGUUAUUUAAAUUUGAUUCUUCAAAAUUGUUUUCAACUACUUUAUAUCUGUUUGUAUGUCUUCUGAAUUUGGCUUCUGGAGAGUGAGUAUUGUGUUUUAUGUUCCUCUUGCCUUCUAAAAGCCCUGGAUAUUGUUAUGUAAAAAUUUGCAGCCAAUAAAUAAAUCUGGAAUAAAACUUGUAUUUUG
ensembl:lincRNA